ensembl:ncRNA C18H9.12 ncRNA
UCCCACAUUGAUUUCUUUAUUUUUCCAAAUCAGUUUCUCUUUUUUUUCUAAUUUCAUCUGAAAUUCCAUGAGUCUCCCGAUAGUUUUUCCGACU